rnacentral:ncRNA from 1 species
CCCGUUAAGGUUCGCUUUUUAGCGAUUGAAUGGGAAUGUGAGUGAGAAUCUCCAACUGUCCCGCAGCUGUAUACUCCAUUAUGGCCACAAGCACGAAUAGCCAUUGCCUGUUUGGGUGAGAAGGCGCAUUGUGGUGGAGCAAAGUCAGAAUACCAGCCUUUUUA